AACGAACGCUGGCGGCAGGCCUAACACAUGCAAGUCGAACGCCCCGCACGGGGAGUGGCGCACGGGUGAGUAACGCGGGGGAAUAUGCCCUUCGGUUCGGAAUAACACAGGGAAACUUGUGCUAAUACCGGAUACGAUCGAAGGAAGAAAGAUUUAUCGCCGAGGGAGUAGCCCGCGGAGGAUUAGCUAGUUGGUGAGGUAAUGGCUCACCAAGGCGACGAUCAUUAGCUGGUCUGAGAGGAUGAUCAGCCACACUGGGACUGAGACACGGCCCAGACUCCUACGGGAGGCAGCAGUGGGGAAUAUUGGACAAUGGGCGAAAGCCUGAUCCAGCCAUGCCGCGUGAGUGAUGAAGGCCUUAGGGUUGUAAAGCUCUUUCGCCAGGGAAGAUAAUGACGGUACCUGGAAAAGAAGCCUCGGCUAACUCCGUGCCAGCAGCCGCGGUAA
rnacentral:rRNA from 1 species